GGGCCAUCUUCUGUUCCUUGUUUUGUGGCCUUUCCAUUGGAAGCUUGCAGCACAGCAGCUUGCUUCAUCAAACUAGCAAGAGAGAGGGAGUCUACUAGCAAGAUGUGAUCAUUAUAUGUGGUGCCACUUGGCUAUCCUUCAGGCUUCUCUAAAGUAGCACUUUCAAAAAUGGACACAAGGACCUGCAGGGGCAUAUAUUUCCAUUAUCUGAAUGACCAGACAACUUACAGUCCGUGGACUCGCUCUGCUCAGUGAGUCAGAGCCUCCCAUGUGUGAUCUGAAACUAGGCCCCUGUGAAGGGCAGGGAAAGACAGAACAGGCAGGCCAGGCCAGAUGGGCAGGUGACAGGUGCACUGAGCAAGGUACUUACAAAAUUUUGCAUCGAGGUUUCUGUUCAACUAAAGGCAAGGCUGAAAAGUCACCCCAUGGAAUGAAUGCCCGGCUUCCCAUGGGUUCUGGAACCUCGGAGCCAUCACCUACUUCCCACCAACCAGCAGAAAGACCCGAAGAUCAUCAGGACUCAUUUGAGACCCAUGUGGAAAAUGGGCUGCCAUGGUCUCGGUGAACAGGCACAGAAAGUGUGACACCUCCAUGCCAUGGAAUGCCACUCCAUAAUAACUAGAAAAUAAAUUAUUGAUACACCCAGCAACUUUUAUGGAUCUCAAAGGUAUUCCUUUAAGUGAAUAAAACCCGCAUGGAAAGGUAAGAUACGGUGUGAUUCAAUUUAUAUAACAUGCUCAGAGGAACAGCAAUAGAGGGCCAGAAUGAAU
rnacentral:lncRNA from 1 species